rnacentral:rRNA from 1 species
AUUGAACGCUGGCGGAAUGCUUUACACAUGCAAGUCGAACGGCAGCACGGGGGCAACCCUGGUGGCGAGUGGCGAACGGGUGAGUAAUACAUCGGAACGUGCCCAGUCGUGGGGGAUAACGUAGCGAAAGUUACGCUAAUACCGCAUACGAUCUACGGAUGAAAGCGGGGGACCGUAAGGCCUCGCGCGAUUGGAGCGGCCGAUGUCAGAUUAGGUAGUUGGUGAGUUAAAGGCUCACCAAGCCGACGAUCUGUAGCUGGUCUGAGAGAGACGACCAGCCACACUGGGACUGAGACACGGCCCAGACUCCUACGGGAGGCAGCAGUGGGGAAUUUUGGACAAUGGGCGCAAGCCUGAUCCAGCCAUUCCGCGUGCAGGACGAAGGCCUUCGGGUUGUAAACUGCUUUUGUACGGAACGAAAAGGCUCUGGUUAAUACCUGGGGCUCAUGACGGUACCGUAAGAAUAAGCACCGGCUAACUACGUGCCAGCAGCCGCCGUAA